UUCCACGAGUGCUAGGUAAGGCUAGAAGGAUGGUUAAUUGAGAGGUUGGCAAGCAAUUUGUAUUCUUGCCACGACGGGUUAACAUGCAUGCCUGUGUGUUGCCAGCGCUGGCUAGGAUCUUAAUUAACGAAGCCAUAAAAUUAUUUUGGCUAACCUUCUACAUGACCUAUUAAAUUAUCACCACCACAUAUAAUUAUUGAUGUAUUUGUCCUUCCUCAACGGAAGCAUUCUUAAAGCCUCAAAACAUUGUUAUUCAUGAGUUAAGCCAAGACAAUGUCCACCAGCUUCUAAUUGGCACACUCAUUCUCAUGACGGUGGUGUUGGUCUGAUGUAGUUAGGAGAAGACACUGAAAAUGUUUGGUGAGCAAUUUCUUAGAAUUAUAGACCAUAGGCAAAAAGAUUCAUAUGUCAUUAGAAAUUGCAAUAAAUUAGAUCUAAGUUUUAAAGUGUCAAUAUGAUCAUAGAAAACACUAAGUAUGCCUGAUGGCCCAUAUAUUUUCACAUUUAACGAAACAAACUAUGAAGACACUGACCUUAUCAGAUCAAAUGAGGUAGAUUUGGUAAUUAUUAAGUUCAUCCUUUGCUCUGCUUGCAUGCCACAUACCUGCACUGGUACAUAGUACUAAUUAGCUCAAGUAAACAUUUGUUUUCUUUGUAACUCAAAAGAAACCGCAAUAAUUUGUGUGCUGCAAAUACAAUAGAACAACAUAUGUUUUCUCUGAUACGUAGUGACAACAUUUUUAUAAAUUGCAUAAAUAAUUAUAAUUUGAGAUGUACCUCAAAAUAUUAAGAAAUAUACAGAAAAAAAAUCUAAACUUUAAGGAUCAUCAUAAUUUUUAUGCUAAGAGCUUUUGCUUUCGCACAUGCAUCACACCGGCUGACUAUAUGUAUGUAUAUAAUUAUAUAAACUGCUAAGUAUAAGGAAAUAGCCACCAUGCUGAUAUUAAACUAAUCGUGGACCUGCACACAUGUAGGCAUUGGCACACAAACUCAAGCAUCACACAUCCAAGUGAAUUAGGCUACUGUUAUGCAUGCAAUUUAGUAGACCUAGUGCUUACACCAUGGGUGGAGGCAGGGCAAUGCGACAGAUUAGUCCACCAAGCAUAUUUGAUUAGAAAGAAGAGAGCCCAUUGCGUAACAACUAACAAACAUCGUACAAUAGUCGCGAAUGUUUUCACUUCUACAACUCACUGGAACAAGUGAGCAUGACUACCUAGUUGAGUUGUAAUACUGUAGUAAAAACAAGAUUUUCCCAACAGAAAUAUGACCGUAUGACAGAGUGACCGAUCAGGCCUAAACCUUGGCACGUAAGCAGAAGGUGGGAAUUUGAAUCAUCAACGUCAACCACGAGACUAAGACAACAAGCUUUACUAUACAAUCAGUCAAUCACAUAACCAACGACGACCAACGACUGCACAACUUUCACUUCCAUUUUCUUGGACAGGCUCCUAAGCCAUACCUGAAUCAAUUCAGUCACAACAAGAGGCUUCAGCUGGAAUCUCCCCUUCACACCAACCAGCUCUAAUUCAAC
rnacentral:lncRNA from 1 species